rnacentral:rRNA from 1 species
UACGUAGGGCCCGAGCGUUGUCCGGAAUCAUUGGGCGUAAAGAGCGUGUAGGCGGCUAUUUAAGUCCUGCGUGAAAUCCUGCGGCUCAACCGCAGACGGUCGUGGGAAACUGGAUGGCUAGAGUGCGGGAGAGGAGAGUGGAAUUCCCGGUGUAGCGGUGAAAUGCGCAGAUAUCAGGAGGAACACCGGUGGCGAAGGCGGAUCUCUGGGCCGUAACUGACGCUGAGGAGCGAAAGCAUGGGGAGCGAACAGG